AUGAACGCUAGCGACAGGCUUAACACAUGCAAGUCGAGGGGUAACAGGGUAGCAAUACCGCUGACGACCGGCGCACGGGUGAGUAACGCGUAUGCAACCUGCCUAUAACUGGGGAAUAGCUCCCUGAAAGGGGAAUUAACACCGCAUAACACUAUUGAUUCGCAUGGAUUAGUAGUUAAAUGUAGCGAUACAGGUUAUAGAUGGGCAUGCGUGACAUUAGCUAGUUGGUGAGGUAACGGCUCACCAAGGCUACGAUGUCUAGGGGUUCUGAGAGGAAGGUCCCCCACACUGGUACUGAGACACGGACCAGACUCCUACGGGAGGCAGCAGUGAGGAAUAUUGGUCAAUGGGCGCAAGCCUGAACCAGCCAUGUCGCGUGCAGGAAGACUGCCCCUAUGGGUUGUAAACUGCUUUUAUAGUAGAAGAAACACAUCUACGUGUAGAUGUCUGCCAGUAUACUAUGAAUAAGCAUCGGCUAACUCCGUGCCAGCAGCUGC
rnacentral:rRNA from 1 species